AUAGGGCGCGCAGGAAUGUUGUUCCAGAGGGGCGGGAGCACUGGCACUGCAGCGUAGCUGACGCACAGGGGAGUUUUACUCUGGGUCUCCGGAACAGGUUUGGAAGGGACACUGUACCAGUACCGCUGGGCCCCUAUACGCACUCACAUCCGCUCAGUUAGUCAGCUUGUUAUGGAAUGCAUCAUGAUAGCCUCCUUCAUUCUCGGGUCGCUGUAUAAAGAAUGUCUUUCAGUCAGGUUUCAGGUUUCAUCAAUACCAUCAGUAUCUGUGGCACUUGGGUCAGAUGUGCUGUUACCUUGUACUCUGACCCCUGAGAAGAAUGGAGAGAAGAUGGAAAUCCGUUGGUUUAGGUUUAGGUACCAGCCCUAUGUCCAUCUUUAUAUUAAUGGGAAAGAUGAUUACACAGCCCAGAUGCCACAGUUUGCUAACAGAACAGAACUGCUAAAAGAGAACAUCACUAGGGGAAUUUUCCCUUUGAUUAUCCGUAACGUCACAGCUCAGGAUUCUGGGGAAUAUCAUUGUUAUGUGGAGUCCAGUGACCAUCACGGUAUGGCAGCAGUACAGCUACAGGUUACUGCCAUUGGAACUGUGCCGGUUAUUUCGAUUAAUAAUGACACUAUUUCUUGUGAGUCCCGUGAUUGGAAUCCAAAACCUCAUCUGACAUGGACUGAUAACGAGGGAAACGAAAUAAACUCCUCUAUGGUGGAAGUGUUCAGAAAUGAGAAUCAUUUAUAUAAUAUCCUCAGUAUUAUCCAGCAACCAAAUGCUUCAUAUAUCACUUGCACUGUCUCCAAUUCUAUAAACCACAGCAAUGAUUCCAGGCAGAUCAGAGAAUUGGAACAUUCACAAACAUCUAGGGAUAUGCGCAGUCGUGUUUAUGUAAUCGGUGCCAGCUUUAUAUUGAUUUGCUUUGGGUGCAUUUGCCUUCUAUUGAGGAGCCUUUAGCGACUCCGGGCGGCACCGGGUAACUGCAAACAGAAUGUGCGGCAGAGCAAGGAAGUGAAUGGAAUAUGUGCGGCAGGAUACACCCCUAAUGGCUGUACCUCAUCUGAUCAUGGGACUCAUGGCAAUGUUCCCUCAGCCCCAGUGAAUGGAAUAUGUGCUGCAGGAUACGUUCCCUAAUGGCUGUACCCCAUCUGAUCAUGGGACUCAUGGCAAUGUUCCCUCAGCCCCAGUGAAUGGAAUAUGUGGUGCAGGAUACACCCCUAAUGGCUGUACCCCAUCUGAUCAUGGGACUCAUGGCAAUGUUCCCUCAGCCCCAGUGAAUGGAAUACGUGCUGCAGGAUACACCCCUAAUGGCUGUACCCCAUCUGAUCAUGGGGUUCAAGGGAAAGGGAAAAAUUCUGCAGAUCACUCACAAAGUACUGUACAGGUAUAAGGGCAAAACGUUUUGCUCUGUAAAUCUUUGAACUUUUCCCCAUUGCAUCCACCUAAGAUUAAAGGGAUUUGUGUGUUACAGAGGUGGGCACAAAAUCAUAUUCCCCCUAUUUUUUAUUUUUUUUAAAAUAAAAUAUGGACCAGCUUUCAAUGGGGGUAGGGGGGGCACAGCCUAUGCACACUGAGGCAGAGGGGAUUAUCAGACCCCACCAUUGCAGCUACUUCUUGCUCUUUAGGGUCAAGGGGAACUAUCAGUUACCCCCAGGGGUUCCCCGGGACCCCACAGGUUGCAGUGGGCCAUUGCCUGAGUAAGCCCAUGAAUUUACCUUAAUCCCUGACCAGUUAAGAGAUGGGAAGUUAACCUGCUAGAAAUGUUUCCAGUGACCCAAACCUGCUUAUACCCACAGUAGGGCUUCUAAUCAGCUGCCCCUUCUUUUGUUGUGUUGUGUAAUGAACAAGAAAAAACCUUUCCAAGGGAAACAACCCCAAGGCAAAAAAUGUAUAGAAUUGUCACCACCCCCAGAGUCCUACAUAUCACUUAACCCCUCACAACAAUAGUAGGCAGUGAAGGUGGCCUUGCAUGGACUGAAUCAGCAGCAUAUUGGCCUGUGUAUGGGGGGGGGGGUCUGUUUAUGCACUGGGGUCUGUUUGGAAGGGUAGGACUUGAUGGAGUCUUUUAAACCAAAGGUAAAUAUGUUACUACUGUAUGUAUGCAACAUAGUGCCAGAGUUGCAUUAUAUAUAUAUAACAGAGUUGCAUUAUGCUGAUUAGUGCCUGGCAUUAUCCCUGUGGCACUGAGUGUAUGUAAUAAACUCUGUCCCCCAUAUAUAAUAAAAGGCACUAAGUUUGCUCAGGAGCAACCAUAGCAACCAGUAAAUGCUUCCUGCUG